rnacentral:tRNA from 1 species
ACCUGGGUGGCUCAGUCGGUUGAGCAUCUGACUUCGGCUCAGGUCAUGAUCUUGCAGUUCGUGGGUUCAAGCCCCACAUUGGGCU